CACGUAGUUAGCCGUCCCUUUCUGGUUAGUUACCGUCACUUGGUAGAUUUUCCACUCCUACCAACGUUCUUCUCUAACAACAGAGCUUUACGAUCCGAAAACCUUCUUCACUCACGCGGCGUUGCUCGGUCAGACUUCCGUCCAUUGCCGAAGAUUCCCUACUGCUGCCUCCCGUAGGAGUCUGGGCCGUGUCUCAGUCCCAGUGUGGCCGAUCACCCUCUCAGGUCGGCUAUGUAUCGUCGCCUUGGUGAGCCUUUACCUCACCAACUAGCUAAUACAACGCAGGUCCAUCUCACAGUGAAGCAAUUGCUCCUUUUAAAUAACCAACAUGUGUUAAUUACUCUUAUGCGGUAUUAGCUAUCGUUUCCAAUAGUUAUCCCCCGCUAUGAGGCAGGUUACCUACGCGUUACUCACCCGUUCGCAACUCAUCAGUCUAGUGUAAACACCAAACCUCAGCGUUCUACUUGCAUGUAUUAGGCACGCCGCCAGCGUUCGUCCUGAGCCAGGAUCAAACUA
rnacentral:rRNA from 1 species